UUGCUGAUACACGAGUUGGCAAUGGGGCAGUAUCAUGAAGAUGAGAGUUGAAAGAAGAAGACCAUUGCCCUAAAGUCUACUGGAAUUGAAGAAGAUGAAAGUCAGUCCUCCGAAGAUGAUGAUGAUGAUAAUGAGGACAUGGCCCUUAUAAUCAAAAAAUUCAAAAAAUUUAUGAAAAAAAGAAGGUAAAGAUUCAAGAGAAGAAACUUGAACAAGAGAGAGCCGAGCAGGAAGAAAAAGAAAGAGAAGGAGCCACCCCUAUGCUACAAAUGCAAAAAAUCAGGAC
rnacentral:lncRNA from 1 species